UGGGGAAUUUUGGACAAUGGGCGAAAGCCUGAUCCAGCAAUGCCACGUGUGUGAAGAAGGCCUUCGGGUUGUAAAGCACUUUUUGUCCGGAAAGAAAUCCUUGGCUCUAAUACAGUCGGGGGAUGACGGUACCGGAAGAAUAAGCACCGGCUAACUACGUGCCAGCAGCCGCGGUAAUACGUAGGGUGCAAGCGUUAAUCGGAAUUACUGGGCGUAAAGCGUGCGCAGGCGGUUUGCUAAGACCGAUGUGAAAUCCCCGGGCUCAACCUGGGAACUGCAUUGGUGACUGGCAGGCUAGAGUAUGGCAGAGGGGGGUAGAAUUCCACGUGUAGCAGUGAAAUGCGUAGAGAUGUGGAGGAAUACCGAUGGCGAAGGCAGCCCCCUGGGCCAAUACUGACGCUCAUGCACGAAAGCGUGGGGAGCAAACAGGAUUAGAUACCCUGGUAGUCCACGCCCUAAACGAUGUCAACUAGUUGUUGGGGAUUCAUUUCCUUAGUAACGUAGCUAACGCGUGAAGUUGACCGCCUGGGGAGUACGGUCGCAAGAUUAAAACUUAAAUGAAUUGACGGGGUCAUAGCUGUUUCCU
rnacentral:rRNA from 1 species